rnacentral:rRNA from 1 species
GGGGAAUAUUGCGCAAUGGGCGAAAGCCUGACGCAGCAACGCCGCGUGCGGGAUGAAGGCCUUCGGGUUGUAAACCGCUUUCAGCAGGGACGAAGGUUUUCUGACGGUACCUGCAGAAGAAGCACCGGCUAACUACGUGCCAGCAGCCGCGGUGAUACGUAGGGUGCGAGCGUUGUCCGGAAUUAUUGGGCGUAAAGAGCUUGUAGGCGGUCUGUUGCGUCGGAAGUGAAAACUCAGGGCUUAACCCUGAGCCUGCUUUCGAUACGGGCAGACUUGAGGGAUGUAGGGGAGAACGGAAUUCCUGGUGGAGCGGUGGAAUGCGCAGAUAUCAGGAGGAACACCAGUGGCGAAGGCGGCUUCCUGGCACAAUACUGACGCUCAUGUGCGAAAGCUAGGGCAGCGAACG